rnacentral:sRNA from 1 species
GACAGCCCGCCAGCGCAUUGAUUCCGUCGGCGGCAGUGGCGAUCGUAC